GACGAACCGUGCGAACGUUAUUCGGAAUCACUGGGCUUAAAGCGCGUGUAGGCGGACGAGAACGUCGGUCGUUGAAAGCCCCCGGCUCAACCGGGGAACUGGCGCCGAAACGGCUUGUCUGGAGGGACGUAGGGGGACCUGGAACUUCCGGUGGAGCGGUGAAAUGCGUUGAGAUCGGAAGGAACGCCCGUGGCGAAAGCGAGGUCCUGGACGUCUACUGACGCUGAGACGCGAAAGCUAGGGGGAGCGAACGGGAUUAGAUACCCCGGUAGUCCUAGCUGUAAACGAUGGGCACUAGAUAGGGGGCUCGCCGAUGGGCUCCCUGUCGUAGGGAAACCGUGAAGUGCCCCGCCUGGGGAGUAUGGUCGCAAGGCUGAAACU
rnacentral:rRNA from 1 species